rnacentral:rRNA from 1 species
AUGCCGACGAGUACCAAGCACAGCUGUGAGGCCGAGCAGUCUAAACCCGGGCCGCCGCUGCCGCUCAGCCAUGAGGACAACCGCCGCUUCCUCCAGAUGCUCCGACAAAAAAAGGAAAGUCUGGGAGUCGCCGGGCCCAAGGUGGAGGUGCGGUUCGAGGAUCUCGCCGUGGAGGCACACGUCCGCAUCGGCCGCCGGGAGCUGCCGACGCUGCUCAACUGCGCCGUCAACGCCGCACAGGAUUUGGUAUCAUUUUUUGACAUGUAUUCUAGAAGGAAAGGAGCAAUCAAAAUCAUAAAUGAAGCAAGUGGCACAAUUCGACCAUCGAGGAUGACACUUCUUCUCGGAGCGCCCGGUUCUGGGAAAACAACAUUUUUGAAGGCAUUGGCAGGAAAGUUGGAUUCAUCUCUAAAGCGGAAAGGAAAGAUCACAUACAACGAAAAAGAAGUGAAUUCCUCAACACCUCAACACAUGCAUGCUUACAUUAGCCAGUAUGAUCUUCACCAUGCCGAGAUGACUGUCAGAGAGACAAUUGAUUUCUCGUCCAAUAUGUUGGGAACCAUUAAUGAAUUUGAGAUGAUGGAACAAUCGGUAAGAAGAAAGCAAGGUGACAUCAAUGAAGUGGAACAAAAUCUUGACUCCUUCAUUAAGGCUACAACAUUUGGAGAAGGAAGUAACCUUACAACAAACUAUAUUAUUAAGAUACUUGGUUUGUCUGAGUGUGCUGAUAUCCUAGUGGGGGAUGAGAUGAGAAGAGGCAUAUCGGGAGGACAAAAGAAAAGAGCAACAAUUGGUUAG